rnacentral:rRNA from 1 species
UACGUAGGUGGCAAGCGUUAUCCGGAAUUAUUGGGCGUAAAGCGCGCGUAGGCGGUUUCUUAAGUCUGAUGUGAAAGCCCACGGCUCAACCGUGGAGGGUCAUUGGAAACUGGGAAACUUGAGUACAGAAGAGGAAAGUGGAAUUCCAUGUGUAGCGGUGAAAUGCGCAGAGAUAUGGAGGAACACCAGUGGCGAAGGCGACUUUCUGGUCUGUAACUGACGCUGAUGUGCGAAAGCGUGGGGAUCAAACAGG